GCCGGCUUAGCUCAAUUGGUAGAGCAGGUGAUUUGUAAUCAUCAGGUUGUGGGUUCAAGUCCUACAGCCGGCACCA
rnacentral:tRNA from 1 species